AGCUUUGCGCAGUGGCAGUACCGUAGCCAAUGAGGUUUAUCUGAGGCGCGAUUAUUGCUAAUAAGACUGAGUUUAGCUAAUCAUUAAGGAAGACUUUUUUUAUAUUUGCUUACUUAUUUAUUUAG
ensembl:snRNA U4 U4 spliceosomal RNA